AUGUGUAUAAGAAAUUGAGGAUUAAUGUAUAGUAAUAAUAAUAAUAAUAUUAUAGUUAUUAUUAUUAUAAAAAUUUAAAAUUAAAUAUUAUAAAUUAUAAGAUUAUAGACUAUAGAAAGAAUUUCAUAAAUUACUCCUAUGGUUUCGUAUUUUCUCAUUUUAGUACCUUAUAGUUUAAGGUGUAUCACUUUCAUACUCUGUGAUUUUAUUUUUUUGUUAUUCCCUUCCACUAUUUUUUUCUCAUUAAAUCAGUGACAAAGUUAAAACCAAAGGGUACUAAAGUGAAUAUUCGAUAAACUAUAUGUGGGGUAUCUGAAGUUUUUUGCAUAUGAUUUAAUAAAAAGUUAACGGAGGGGCCGGCAAAAAGAAAAAAAUGGAAUAAUAGGAUACUAAAUUGAUAUAUUUUAAAUUAUAGGAUACUAAAGUGAAAAUAUACGAAAUCAUAGAUAUAGUAUUUGAAUUUUACCCUAAAU
rnacentral:lncRNA from 1 species